rnacentral:lncRNA from 1 species
CAACCUCAAAAUUGCCAGCUCUGAAACAUCUGGCCUGUUCUAAAACGUGACAGCUCUGAGUCUCUGCUCCUCUAGUCUAACUAUGAGCAUGGGAAACCACGUGAAAAGACUUUGGAUUACAUCCAAAUGGUUUUUAUUUCGCGAAUUAUGGCUCAACUGUCGAAAAUCUCAAGCACACAAAGUGUGAAAAAUGGUGAUAUUGAUUAUAAAGGCGAUCACAUUAGGGAAUUCACUUCUAGCGGAGAAUUGGGUCUGAUCGAAUUGCUUACAUUACUGUUUUGUUGCUUCUUAAACUUUGAGUUAAUUGCAUGAUCGAGAGAGGUGUAUUGAUUGUAAAAUUUUGAAUUGACUUUGAGAAUGAUUGGAUGGAAAUUAGCAUUGUUGAAAUCAAUCUCUUCCUAGGAUUCAUAUGGAUUUUGCUUGAGGACAAGCAAAAGGCUAAGUGUGGGGGGG